UGCCAGACCAGCUUUCGUGGGCACCUGGUAUCAAUCCAGAAUCAAUCCAACACAAUAAGUUAUUACUCAUGUUAAGAAAAUCAUAAGAAGGCUGGCAUCUCCUUGGGACAAGGCUCAUUAUCUGAACGUGUCUCAAGUACAACAUUGACCUGAAACUUGAUUGGACAGCUUUAGCUGAUCCUUUUCAAACAAGACUCUGGAGACACAGAAAGUGUGGCCUGCAGCUAGAAUCUAUCAUUACUCUACAAAUGUGUUCAAAGAAAAAGAUCCACACCCAGUCUGCCUAGUUGCAACUGCGCUUUUCUUAUUGCCCUGGCUGCAAACUUCAAUAAAGGAGCAGUAUUUAAAAAUGGA